rnacentral:rRNA from 1 species
GAAAAGUCGUAACAAGGUUUCCGUAGGUGAACCUGCGGAAGGAUCAUUAUUGAUUUUGAAGUGUCAUCUUCUGUGCUGGCUUUCGCAAUGUGCACGAUGAUGACUUUCAUCCAACUCCCUAUGUGAACCUUUGACCUCGGUCAGUUUCGGCUGGCAGAGGAUUACUACACAAUCCUGAAUGUAAUAAAAAGCCUUGUGCGAAAGCACUAAUAUACAACUUUCAACAACGGAUCUCUUGGCUCUCGCAUCGAUGAAGAACGCAGCGAAAUGCGAUAAGUAAUGUGAAUUGCAGAAUUCAGUGAAUCAUCGAAUCUUUGAACGCACCUUGCACCCUUUGGUAUUCCAAAGGGUAUGCUCGUUUGAGUGUCAUUGUACUCUCACACUCUCUGAUCUUGCAUUGGGGAGUGGUGGACUUGGAUGUUGCUGCUUAGCUGUGGCUCAUCUAAAAUGGGUUAGUGCAUCUCAUGGUUGGAUUAGUACAGCGUGAUAAGCAUCUUCGCUGGCACCUUUAUGGGGGUCCAACUGGGAGCUCUGUGCUUCAAACUGUCCCUGCGACAAAUAUCUGACAACUUGACCUCAAAUCGAGUAGGACUACCCGCUGAACUUAAGA